rnacentral:rRNA from 1 species
CCUACGGUGGACUGCAGUGAGGAAUAUUGGUCAAUGGGCGUGAGCCUGAACCAGCCAAGUCGCGUGAGGGAAGACGGCCCUACGGGUUGUAAACCUCUUUUAUAAGGGAUCAAAGCGAGUCACGUGUCACGCAUUGUAAGUACCCUAUGAAUAAGCAUCGGCUAACUCCGUGCCAGCAGCCGCGGUAAUACGGAGGAUGCGACCGUUAUCCGGAUUUAUUGGGUUUAAGGGGUGCGCAGGCGGCGGUUAAAGUCAGCGGUCAAAUUGCGUGUCUAAACCCAGGACUGCCGUUGAAACUGGAUGACUUGAGUGUGUGAGAGGUAGGCGGAAUGCGUGGUGUAGCGGUGAAAUGCAUAGAUAUCACGCAGAACCCCGAUUGCGAAGGCAGCAUACCGGGGCGUAACUGACGCUGAUGCACGAAAGCGUGGGGAUCGAACAGGAUUAGAUACCCCUGUAGUC